rnacentral:lncRNA from 1 species
GAAUCAGGAGCCUAAUUUGUGGGAAUCUGGGAAGGAAUCUAGGGCAUAAUUUGUGGAAUUUCUUACAACCACAGUUAUCCAAUAGGCAUGGGCAACUUGUUCUACAUCAUCUAAUCUAGUCAAAAUCUUUAUUUCAGAUAGCAGAAAAAUAGAUACUUCAUUGUGAACUGUGUAGGUUAACUUUAUGUUCUUUUAUGGUAAAGCUAUAAUGGAACUUGUAAUGCAGAUGAUAUAUACUUACUUGACAAUAUGAUGCAGUCAGGGUUUCCAUUGGUGAAAUCUGAAAUUAACUCUUUAGAGCAUUAUGGUUGAUGGAAUGCAAGAUGAAGAACUAUGCACCAAUCCCCUUGGAAGGUGCUCUGUUUUC